GCGAAAGUGGCGGAACUGGCAGACGCACUACCUUGAGGUGGUAGCGGGAGCAAUCUUGUAGGGGUUCGAGUCCCCUCUUUCGCA
rfam:Chlamydiae bacterium RIFCSPHIGHO2_01_FTLL_44_39 rifcsphigho2_01_scaffold_4675, whole genome shotgun sequence.